CGUUCCCAGGCCUUGUACACACCGCCCGUCGCAUCAUGAAAGCCGCUUGUACCCGAAGUCGCCCCUCAAAAGGUGCCGAAGGUAUGGGUGGUGAUUGGGAUG
rnacentral:rRNA from 1 species